AUCAAUAUGCAGAAAUCUCUCACGGAAAAAUAAAAGUUUUCAUAAUUACCUCAAAACUCUAAAUAAGCUGAUUUAAUUGUAAAAUUGGACAACUUUACCCCUUAUCUAUUAGAAGCUUAUGUCUGAUUAAUUUUGAGAACUUCACUACUUUGAAGAGAGAUAAAUCCACCGCCGGCAACAACCAUAAAGAAUUAUCCGACGGCGGUUGAUUAAUCGGCGCGGAUGUAGCCAUGGAACUAGAAUUUGAAUUUAUCUUGAUUUAUUUCAUACACAAUGAUUUCAGGCGGUCGACACGCCGAGCAGCGGCUAGGAUUUUGCAGCCGGUUUUGGUUUGGUCAAUACAAAAUUCUAUGCCUGUUUUAGGUUGAGGAAGAGGAAGCGACAGUUAAUAUGCAGCAAAUCCACACUCUUAUCACAUCUUUAACUUUUACUGCAAUUGAGAUCAAGACCAUUAAUUCGCUCGAGUCAUGGAAUGGAGGUCUUACGGUGAUGGUUUAUGUAUCUAUUAAAAAUAAGGAUAUUAUUGGCAGGAGACGUUUUGUGCAGAGCUUUUUUUUGGCUCCUCAAGAGAAGGGCUGAUUCUUAACAUUGUCACUCAUACACUUGAUAUUGGAGAUCAGUUGAACCUUUCUUUCCUCUGGGCGCUAGUACUAAAAACGAUAACAUUACUAGCACCAUACAACUUUGACGUCUUUAUUUUUUCUUACGUAGGUGCUAUUUAAAAUUACAGGUUGACUAUAAGUUGAUUUAUAGUUAUAAUGACAAAAAAAAUUGACGUCUUUAAUUUUUUGUUGGUUUGAUUCAAAUUUUGUAUAUUCUGAAGAAUGCUUUGGUACUGGAUUGCUGCCAUUUUUAGCACCAGGCUGUAAUCUAGUUUUUAACUGUUUCGCGUAAGAAAAUGAAAAAUCCUGGUUGGUAUU